ACAAGAACAAAAUUUGACAAUUAAAAGUAUAGAAACUAAAAUUGAACAAACUUUAAAGUAUGUAGAUCAAAAUGACAUUUUUAACAAAACAAAUUACCUCUUUCAAAUGAGGUAUGGAUAGUUUAUAACAAAAACUUCAACUACAAGAAAUUGAGGUUCUCCCGACGCAGAAAAAGACGUCAGAAGAACAAAAGUAGGGAAAUAUGCAUUAUCCCGACACCACUUUUCACACUUCAGGUGAAUGACCUUUUCCUGACGCGGUGAUAGAGACGUCUAGAAAGAGGACAACAUUUCCAACAUCUGGGUGUAGGGCAUUGGGAAUAAUGACUUAUCCCGACGCGACAUUCACGCGUCGGGAACUAUCAGUCGAAAAUUUUCGAACAUUGAUUAUGUCAGACAAAUAUUUCCAACGCAUCCUGCAUGGCAUCGAGGACUUCAUCGGAAGUAAUGGUAGCUCCCAAGUAAUGUGAGAUACCGACGACAUUAGUUAUUCGUUAGGAAUAGCGUCAGGAGUAAGGAGAUCUUCCGACGUUUUGGUGCUGCAUCAGGAGUUCCCCUAUAAAAUAGAUGUUUCAGUUCUGUGAAACACAGAAUCAAAACGAAAGAGAGAAAACGGAGGAGAGAUCGAUUUCGCCGAUGAUCGAAGAGAAGAGAAGCGCCCAACCAUCACCGCUGUGAGCCUGUCGUCGUCCCUCUCCCGUCAUCGCCGCCGCACAUUCCUAGUUGAGGUAAGUUUAAAAUCUCAAGUCUUAAAAAAUGUUAGUUUAGGUUAGGUUUAUUUAAAUAGUUUAGGUUUUUGUUUUUUAAAAUUAGUUUUAGGAUUUUAAUGAUGAAUUAGUUGUAGGAUAUUGUUUAGGAAUAGAUUUUGGUUUUUGAAAUGGAAAUUUUAAACGUGGGUUGAAAGGGGAAGAUUUGAGAAAUUUAUUUGGAGAAUUGAAAUUUUGAAUGUGUGGGUUGAAUUUGAAGAGGGGGAGUAGGUUUAAUUGAAUAUUUGAAGGAGGUGGGUUGAAAACUAGAGGGAAGGGGAGGUUCAAUUGAAAAUUUGACAGAUUAGGAUUGAAAAUUUGAGGGGGGAGAGAGGUAAUGGCUAUUUUUGCGUUAAAAAUUCUGUAAUAUGUGUUAAAUAAAAUUCGUUUUCGCAGUUAUGGUAGCCUUUAGUUCAAUUCUAUUAGUUUAUUUUUUAGUAGUUUUGAAUAACUUUGUUGUUGAUUUAGGAUGACUAUCCUAUCGUUUUAGUAGCCUUUUUUGUUUUGAAUUUUUUGUAUUUUUAGGGUUUGAAGAGGUGGUAGUAGAAUAACUUGUAAGGUAGCGUUGUAGGAAGGGAUGGGUAGGAUGCAAAGAUUGAAGUUGUUUAUGGUUAAUAAUUAGGUUGUGUUGCUAUCCUACAGUUAUGGUAGUUUAUAUAGUUUGAAGUUAGUUUUAGUGAAAAUUUUGAGAGAUUGUAUAUUCAAGGGAGUAAGUUUAGGAUGUGAGAGAGGAAUAUGUUUCUAAUCAGACCUAUUUAUGUUUUAAGGACUUAAAUGAUGGACAAGGGUUGGAUGAAACUUAGGAAUAAGUUUUCCCUUGAGUAUAGCCAGAGUAUGACCCAAUUUUUAGAAUUUGCCAAGUUUCUCUUGAUGCAUACGGACGAAUAAGGUGUCCAUGCAAGAGAUAUAUGAACUUAAAUUAGAACUCACUAGAAGGUAUGAACAGCAUCUACUGACUAUUGGAAUAUCCCUUACCACAAAGAAUGGGUGUAUCACGGAGAGUCAUUAAGUUUUAUAGGUACAUAAAACUUUGAGGAAGGAACUAGUAGUAACCCUUUUGAUGAAGGAACUAGUAGUAGGCAGUUUAGUGAAGAAGAUGAUAUAUUUGGUAUGUUGAAUGAUUUACAAGUCUCGUGAUGAGGAUUGACACUUCCUCUGUGACUGUUACAUGCGUCGUGCAUUCCAGAAGAAAUCACGAACGAACAAGGCUGCUAGACAGAAGCAGCCUUACAAUCAUAGCAGUGGGUCAAAGUCGUUUCUACAACGACAGCACAAGCUCGCUGAGCAAAGAAGGGAGCUGGUUGACCGUAUGGAGUUGUUUCGGUAAACACAUGUUCGAGACGGAACGUUCGUGUCCUAGGCUACGGAGGAUGCGCAUUUAACAUCAAAUGCUAGAACUCCAGUCCCAGCCUACCUAGAGGGUAAUCAGCCACUCUUUGGGGAUGAGAUAUGCGAGACGGUGUUGGGUAGACGAUUGGGCUACUUAAAAGACCUUGGUUGGGGACCUAAGUCGAAGGCCCACAAGACGACGAGUGCAGUAGUUCCACGACAUCUGCAGUCCACAAUAGAGCUUCAAUUAUAGGCCAAGCUUGAUUAAACUAUGUAACGGAUUAAAGAGCAUACAAGAAAUCACAAAGCGUUAGUUUCAGUAGUGGAACGAAUGCAAAAGCUAAUAGAAGACACGACUCGGGCAUAGCAAGGAUCACCACAUGAUCCCUAGCUUUGCAGAACGUAUAUAUGUUUCUAUUAUUCUUAAGUUUUUGAAAUGACAGUAUACAGUGAUUAGCUUGUUGGUGAUGCAUUGGUAAUCGAUCUCCUGACGCGUUUCUUCCGACAGUCUUCCCGAAGUUACGUUCUGCAUCGAAAAUUUAUUUUCCGACGUCUUUACCACUUCUGUCGACAUUUUUGUGCGUCAGGAAUCUCCUCACUUUUUGUAGUGUGCCGUUUUCAAAUAAGGUAUGUUUUAAUUUGACAUUUUUGUGUAUAUUUUAU